rnacentral:rRNA from 1 species
UCCGUAGGCGGGCAAUUAAGUCGGAGGUGAAAUCCCACAGCUCAACUGUGGAACUGCCUUUGAUACUGGUUGUCUUGAGUUAUAGUGAAGUAGAUAGAAUAUGUAGUGUAGCGGUGAAAUGCAUAGAUAUUACAUAGAAUACCGAUUGCGAAGGCAGUCUACUAACUGUAUACUGACGCUAAUGGACGAAAGCGUGGGGAGCGAACAGGAUUAGAUACCCUGGUAGUCC